GUUUUUAAAAAAUUAACUCAGUUGGUUAUAGUGUGGUGCUAAUAACGACAAAGUCACAUGUUCGACCCCUGUAGUGAGCA